ACACACACACACACACACACACACACACACACACACACACACACACACACACACACACACACGUAACUUUACUAUUGCGCUUUUAAAGGUGAUAGUGAUUUUGUUUUACAAGUAGACACAGCCAGGCUAGCCGUUUCCCCCUGUUUCAAGUCUUUAUGCUAAGCUAACUGUCUGCUGGCUGUGGCUUCAUGUUUACUGUGUGUUCACACACAAAAGUGGUAUUGUUCUUCUCAGCUAACGAUGCAAGAAAAGGAAUAAUCGUACUUCACAAAAUGUUGAACUAUUCCUUUAGUUUGCUGCUUUUGACCCACUGUAUUGUCAUUUCUAAAGUCAUAACAUUCCAAGUAUAUAGAUAUAGAUAUUUCAAAGCUCCUAUGAACAUUUUCUGUUAAUUUCAUUUAUUGCCAUUGUUUGCUUUAACGUGUAGCUAUCAUAAUGUAAAUCGUCUCUUGGCUUAUGUCUGGUUAGUGUCUGUGAAAAUAUUUCUUUUUGGUUAGCUUGUUCACACAAAUAGCUUCAUCAGUUCUGUGUUUAACCUGUUAUUAUUUUUGAUAUUUGUGUCAAAUCCACACUGUACGUUACUCAUAAACUCUGGGGAAAAGCUUUGUUUAUCUUGUUAGUUUUGGAUGUCGGUGUCUAAAUUUUGGUAUGCAAACAAUUUGAAGAAGACAAUAAAUAUACAAAUUGGGGAAA